GAUGAACGCUGGCGGCGUGCCUAAUACAUGCAAGUCGAGCGAACAGACGCGGCGCUUGCUCUUCUGACGUUGGCGGCGGACGGGUGAGUAACACGUGGAUAACCUACCUCUUCGACUGGGAUCACUUCGGGUAACCGGAGCUAAUACCGGAUACUAUAUUUAACCGCAUGGUUCAAUAGUGUAAGACGGUUUUGCUGUCCCUUCUAGCUGGCUCCGUGGCGCAUUAGUUAGUUGGUAGGGUAACGGCUUACCAAGGCAGCGAUGCGUAGCCGACCUGAGAGGGGGAACGGCCACACUGGAACUGAAACACGACACAGACACCUACGGGAGGCAGAAGUAGGGAAGCGUCGGAGAUGGGCGAAAGCCUGACGGAGCAGCGCCAGGUGGGUGAUGAAGGUCUUCGUAUCGGAUGACGCUGUUAGGAUGGUAGAACAAAUGUGUAAGGAACUAUGCACGUCGUGACGGUACCUAGACAGAAAGCCACGGCUAACUACGUG
rnacentral:rRNA from 1 species